AUUGAACGCUGGCGGCAGGCCUAACACAUGCAAGUCGAGCGGAUGAAGGGAGCUUGCUCCUGGAUUCAGCGGCGGACGGGUGAGUAAUGCCUAGGAAUCUGCCUGGUAGUGGGGGAUAACGUCCGGAAACGGGCGCUAAUACCGCAUACGUCCUGAGGGAGAAAGUGGGGGAUCUUCGGACCUCACGCUAUCAGAUGAGCCUAGGUCGGAUUAGCUAGUUGGUGGGGUAAAGGCCUACCAAGGCGACGAUCCGUAACUGGUCUGAGAGGAUGAUCAGUCACAGUGGAACGGAGACGCGGUCCAGACUCCUACGGGGGGCACCAGGGGGGAAUAUUGGAAAAGGGGCGAAAGCCUGAUCCAGCCAUGCGGCGUGUGUGAAGAAGGUCUUCGGAUUGUAAAGCUGUUUAGGUGGGGAGAAAGGGAAUUAAGUUAAUACCUUGGUUUUUGGACGUUACCAAAAAAAAAAGCCCCGGCUAACUUCGGG
rnacentral:rRNA from 1 species